rnacentral:rRNA from 1 species
UACGGAGGAGGCAAGCGUUAUCCGGAAUUAUUGGGCGUAAAGCGUCCGUAGGUGGCUCUUCAAGUCUGCUGUCAAAGAGUGGGGCUUAACCCUGCAAAGGCAGUGGAAACUGAAAGGCUAGAGAGCCGUAGGGGUAGAGGGAAUUCCCGGUGUAGCGGUGAAAUGCGUAGAGAUCGGGAGGAACACCAGUGGCGAAGGCGACACGCUGGGCCGUACCUGACGCUAAAGCGCGACAGCAUGGGGAGCAAACGGG